rnacentral:piRNA from 1 species
UGCUGCUGCUUGUGCUUCCAUUACAAUUC